UGGUCUUGCUUUGUUGCCCAGGCUGGAGUGCAGUGGUGCCAUCACAGCUGACCACAGCCUCGAACUCCUGGUCUCAAGGGAUCUUCCUGCUUUAGCCUCCUAAGUAGCUGGCACUAUAGGUGCGCACCAUCACAGCUGGCUAAAUUGUGGCAGACAGGGUCUCCCUACUUUGCCCAAGCUGGUCUCAAAUUCUGAGCCUCAAGCUGUCCUCCUGCCUUGGCCUCCCAAAGUGCUAGGAGCCACUGCACCUGGCCUAGUUUUUUUAGAGACAGGGUCUCACACUCUUGCCCAGGCUGGAGUGCAGUAGUAUGAUCCUAGCUCAUUGCGGGCUUGGACUCCUGGACUCAAGUGAUUCUCUUGCUUCAGCCUCUCGAAUAGCUAGGAUUGCACUUGCGUGCCACCAUGUUUGGCUAAUUUUAAAAAUGUUUUGUAGAGAAAGAUCUUGCUACAUUGCCCAGGCUGGUCAUGAACUCCUUGCCUCAAGCACUCCUCUUGCCUCAGCCUUCCAAAGUGCUGGUAUUAUAGUUGUGAACCACUGUGCUCCACCAAGUCACUUUUAAUAUUGAGGUUCUGAUCCCUGUGUGUGGAGAGAUUGAGAAUAGAAUCAGGCACUAUCACCAUAGGUUGAGGAAGUGGCUUUUGUGGAGGUGAUCUCUUGAGUUUUUUUCUGCCUCAGUGGGGAUGGCAGGAUGACAAGUUGGCCUAAUUAGUCAAGUUGGCCUAAUUUGUAUUGGCCCCUGAGUCAUUCAGAGAAAGAAAGACCUGUAGCCUGGAUGUCAGGCAUGUUUGUGGGUCCAGAGCUCACCUUGAAGAAGGGGAUAGUUGGUGUGAGAUCUGUAUGUUUAUGGACAGAAAACAUUGGGUUCCUUGUUCCCAGGGAAUGUUCCAGAACUUCCAGCAAUGGUCAGAAGGAGCUGUUUCCAGAUUCAGCUCAGAAGCCAUAUUCUCCAAAAUCUGGAACAUGGAGAUUUCACAGCCCCCAUAUUCUGGAUAAUUCACACAAAGCUUGGGAGUUGGAGAUGAGGGAAUCAACACAGGCAUCAAAGAGGAGACAGAUGCCAAGACUAGCAUGGAGGAGAGAUUGCAGCUGA
rnacentral:lncRNA from 1 species